UCGGGAAUUUUGGGCAAUGGGCGAAAGCCUGACCCAGCAACGCCGCGUGAGUGACGAAGGCCUUAGGGUUGUAAAACUCUUUCGUCGGGGACGAUAAUGACGGUACCCGAAGAAGAAGCUCCGGCUAACUUCGUGCCAGCAGCCGCGGUAAUACGAAGGGAGCUAGCGUUGUUCGGAAUCACUGGGCGUAAAGCGCACGUAGGCGGAUAGUUAAGUCAGGGGUGAAAUCCUGGGGCUCAACCCCAGAACUGCCUUUGAUACUGGCUGUCUCGAGGUCGAGAGAGGUUGGUGGAAUUCCUAGUGUAGAGGUGAAAUUCGUAGAUAUUAGGAAGAACACCAGUGGCGAAGGCGGCCAACUGGCUCGAUACUGACGCUGAGGUGCGAAAGCGUGGGGAGCAAACAGGAUUAGAUACCCUUGUAGUCCCUGAGCGGGCUGGCAAGGCGCAU
rnacentral:rRNA from 1 species